rnacentral:rRNA from 1 species
UACGGGGGGGGCAAGCGUUGUUCGGAAUUACUGGGCGUAAAGGGCUCGUAAGCGGCCCUCUCAGUCGGAUGUGAAAUCCCCAGGCUUAACCUGGGAACGGCAUCCGAUACUGGAGGGCUUGAAUUCGGGAGAGGGAUGCAGAAUUCCAGGUGUAGCGGUGAAAUGCGUAGAUAUCUGGAGGAAUACCGGUGGCGAAGGCGGCAUCCUGGACCGAGAUUGACGCUGAGGAGCGAAAGCUAGGGGAGCAAACGGG